AACUCACCGUAUCAUUUAAUCAUUUGUUGCUUUAUACUUAUUUUCUAUUGGGCCUUUACGUUUCUUUCUACUUAUUCUUCAUAAUUGGGCUUCAUGUUUUAUUUUGAGUAUCUGAAUUGAUUAUUUGCGUGUUGAGUGUUGCGCUGGCAUCAUGUCAUGAAAUUAACGCUAAGAACGGUUGUCGAGCUCUUUCUUCAACCAUGGUGAUCUUCAAAUUUCUAGGGUUCAUAUCAUAUUUUUCGUUCUUUCUGUAAUUAGGUGGACUGACAAUGGAGUUUCUGGACUUCAUGAGGAAUCUCUUUAGCUAGCUCCGUUCGUGUCGUUUUGUCUCAGAUUCUUCUCCUAAGGACCGUUACGGGAUUCAUUGAUUCAACGCCAUUGAAGACCUUAUUUAUUCCUUAGCCCCACUUCAACCAUGAUUACUCAUUAAAUGCAUUUUACCUCUCUCCAAGGCGGUGGAGCUCCAGUUAUUAAAAGAAUGGUAAACUCAUUGAUUCUCCUCGCUGAGGCUGGCUGGCUGUUGUUCUUUAAAUCACUUUCCUGCUGAGAUCAAGAUCUAUUACUAUUUCAUUGUCUUUCUUUUCCGGACCGAUCAGAAAAAGCCAAAGCUUGCUUUUCAGCUACCAAUUGGUCGCCUCAACAGCUUAAACAAGAGAACCCUUGAUGUGAUCACUUCAAGAUUGUAUUUUUACUAUUCUUUGAGUUAUGAGAAACUUGGUGAUCUUGCUGAGAUUUGUGGUACUCAAUCCGUCCUUGGGCCAUUCUGCAACACUGCAUUGGGACAGAUACGUUUUGAGAUAAAUGUUAUAAACACUAGAAACUCUUUAUUCAGCUUUUGUUUUGGUUUAUUCAAGGUGUCGUUUUAGAUGAUUGGCUUAAUUUUUUUUUUUUAAUGAUGUAUGAUGAUUUUGGUUUUGUUUGUUGUUUCUGUUUUUGUUUGUUAAUGUAAGAUUAUUUUGUUUCUGUUUAUUUUAUUGAUUUUAGAAAGCUUGAAUUUUGAUACCGUGUGGAGUUAAGCGUUGCUGAUGAGAUUGACGAAGCUGAUUUUAUACUCUGUCUUAUAGGCUGGAGGUGUUUCGAACCCAGAUGAUAUUCAGUUCCCUGUUUAUUACCGACAUUGUUAGCAAGACAUACACAUUCCAGCUCAGCCCGACCAGUUUCAGUUACACUUUGAAGCAUCAGACUUUCACAAUCUCACGCAUCUUCGACGAGCGUCAGCGUCUUCGAGUCUAUGACUUUGUUGUCGAUGGCGGCAACGGUGGUUUAGGUGAUGAUUUGAACGGUGGAAGCUGUUGGCCUAAAAAUGUAUCUUUAUUUCAUUUUGGAGCAUUGCCAUUUAUUCCAUUUUGCAGGCACUGUUGAUACUAUUUAGAGAAAUACAUGUUUUACUUCCUACGAACCAUUUUGAAACUUCAUAGAGAACAUAUUUAAGUCUUACCCUAUU